AGCGAACGCUGGCGGCAGGCUUAACACAUGCAAGUCGAACGGUCCUACGGGAUAGUGGCGGACGGGUGAGUAACACGUGGGAACGUACCCUUAGGUUCGGAACAACACAGGGAAACUUGUGCUAAUACCGGAUAAGCCCUUCGGGGGAAAGAUUUAUCGCCUUUGGAGCGGCCCGCGUCUGAUUAGCUUGUUGGUGGGGUAAUGGCUCACCAAGGCUACGAUCAGUAGCUGGUCUGAGAGGAUGGCCAGCCACACUGGGACUGAGACACGGCCCAGACUCCUACGGGAGGCAGCAGUGGGGAAUCUUGCGCAAUGGGCGAAAGCCUGACGCAGCCAUGCCGUGUGGAUGAUGAAGGUCUUAGGAUUGUAAAAUCCUUUCACCGGGGACGAUAAUGACGGUACCCGGAGAAGAAGCCCCGGCUAACUUCGUGCCAGCCGCCGCCGUAA
rnacentral:rRNA from 1 species